rnacentral:rRNA from 1 species
AGUGAACGUUGGCGGCGUGGAUUAGGCAUGCAAGUCGAGCGAGAACCGUAGCAAUACGGGGACAGCGGCGAAAGGGACAGUAAUGUGUAGGUAACUACCCCGAGGUCUGGGAUAGCUGCGGGAAACUGCAGGUAAUACCGGAUAAUGUCUUCGGACCAAAGGUGUGAUUCCACCUUGGGAGGGGGCUGCAUCCUAUUAGCGAGUUGGCGGGGUAAAGGCCCACCAAGGCAACGAUGGGUAGCGGGUGUGAGAGAACGACCCGGGUCAUUGGGACUGAGACACUGCCCAGACACCUACGGGUGGCUGCAGUCGAGGAUCUUCGGCAAUGUGCGCAAGCCUGACCGAGCGACGCCGCGUGCGGGAUGAAGGCCUUCGGGUUGUAAACCGCUGUCGUAGAGGAGGAAAUGCAGGGGGGUUCUCCCUUCUGUUUGACCUAUUCUAGGAGGAAGGACGGGCUAAGUUCGUGCCAGCAGCCGCCGUAA